rnacentral:tRNA from 1 species
GACCCCUUCGUCUAGCGGUCCAGGACUUCGCCCUUUCACGGCGGCAACACGGGUUCGAGUCCCGUAGGGGUCA